ACACCACUGAAGAGAAAACUUACUGCUAAUAAGUCUUGGGGAAUGUCUUGGAAAAGGAGCAAUUACAGAUUUAAUCCUUUCCGUAGCCGAAUUCAUUCAACCCUAGCGCGACUUCACGGUGAACCUCCACAUACAAAACGAAACAGCCUGAGAGCGAGGUAUGCAGGAAACAGCGCCCCCGGUGGUCACCCCCCAGGGAAGGGAUAUAACAGGAGGAGAUCCAAUGUCAGCGAG